GGCAGUGGUAGCUCGAUGGUUAAGACAUCGGACUACUGAUCAGAAGAUGUUGAGUUCACAUCCCAGCACUGCCA